rnacentral:rRNA from 1 species
AACGAACGCUGGCGGCAUGCCUAACACAUGCAAGUCGAACGAGACCUUCGGGUUUAGUGGCGCACGGGUGCGUAACGCGUGGGAACUUGCCCUUAGGUUCGGAAUAACUCCCCGUAAGGGGUGCUAAUACCGGUUAAUGUCUUCGGACCAAAGAUUUAUCGCCUUUGGAUGGGGCCGCGUUGGAUUAGCCAGUUGGUAGGGUAAAAGCCUACCAAGGCGACGAUCCAUAGCUGGUCUGAUAGGAGGAUCAGCCACACUGGGACUGAGACACGGCCCAGACUCCUACGGGAGGCAGCAGUGGGGAAUAUUAGGCAAUGGGCGAAAGCCUGAUCCAGCAAUGCCGCGUGAGUGAUGAAGGCCUUAGGAUUGUAAAGCUCUUUUACCCGGGAUGAUAAUGACAGUACCGGGUGAAUAAGCUCCGGCUAACUCCGUG